CGGACGGGUGAGUAAUGUCUGGGAAACUGCCCGAUGGAGGGGGAUAACUACUGGAAACGGUAGCUAAUACCGCAUAACGUCGCAAGACCAAAGAGGGGGACCUUCGGGCCUCUUGCCAUCAGAUGAACCCAUAUGGGAUUAGCUUGUAGGUGGGGUAAUGGCUCACCUAGGCGACGAUCCCUAGCUGGUCUGAGAGGAUGACCAGCCACACUGGAACUGAGACACGGUCCAG
rnacentral:rRNA from 1 species